rnacentral:rRNA from 1 species
UACGUAGGCAGCGAGCGUUGUUCGGAUUCACUGGGCGUAAAGGGUGCGUAGGUGGCGAGGUAAGUCGGAUGUGAAAGCUCGGAGCUCAACUCCGAAAUGGCAUUGGAAACUACCUUGCUCGAGGGUUGGAGGGGGGACUGGAAUGCUUGGUGUAGCAGUGAAAUGCGUAGAUAUCAAGCGGAACACCAGUGGCGAAGGCGAGUCCCUGGACAACUCCUGACACUGAGGCACGAAAGCUAGGGGAGCAAACAGG